rnacentral:rRNA from 1 species
UACGAAGGGUGCUAGCGUUGUUCGGAAUCACUGGGCGUAAAGCGCGCGUAGGCGGCUACUCAAGUCAGAGGUGAAAGCCCGGGGCUCAACCCCGGAAUUGCCUUUGAAACUGGGUAGCUAGAGUGUCGGAGGGGAUAGCGGAAUUGCUAAUGUAGAGGUGAAAUUCGUAGAUAUUAGCAGGAACACCAGUGGCGAAGGCAGCUCUCUGGGUCCCUACCGACGCUGGGGUGCGAAAGCAUGGGGAGCGAACAGG